rnacentral:lncRNA from 1 species
UAUGUCCUGCAAGCUUAGGGGUGCUACAAGUUGACCACUGCAGCAGUAAAGAUGACUCUGAAGAACGGCGUGGGAUGGUUCCUUUCAAAUGCACUUGAGCAGCGGUCUCCAACCACAGGGCCACAGAGCUGGAGGUGAGCAGCAGCUGGAUCUACCAUGAAAGACUUGUGAAUCCAGGAAGAGAGACUGACUGGGCAACAUGUUAUUCAGGUGGGAACAUCCAGUUGCAGGAAAACAAGCUUAACACGCCCACUGAUUCUACAUUAUGCUCCUACCUCCCGGCAGCCUCUCCAGGCCCAGAACUUUCUCCAGUCAGCCUCUACAGACCAAGCUCAUGACUCUCAAUGGCCUAUUUAGGCCCAUACCCUACGUCACGGCAGCCUCCGCAGAUGAGGCUACUGCCUCACAACAGCCUCCACAGGCACAGCUCCAUCGUUACAAUGGCCUCUUUAGACCCAGCUCCUGCCUCCCAGCCUUCUCUCCAGGCCCUGAACUUUCUCAGGUCUCCCUCUGUUGUCCAAGGCUGGAGUGUAGUAGUGCUAUCGCAGCUGACUG